UACGUAGGGGGCAAGCGUUGUCCGGAUUUAUUGGGCGUAAAGAGCGUGUAGGCGGCCACACAGGUCCGCUGUGAAAACUCGAGGCUCAACCUCGAGCUGUCGGUGGAAACCGUGUGGCUAGAGUCCGGAAGAGGAGAGUGGAAUUCCCGGUGUAGCGGUGAAAUGCGCAGAUAUCGGGAAGAACACCCGUGGCGAAGGCGGCUCUCUGGGACGGUACCGACGCUGAGACGCGAAAGCGUGGGGAGCGAACAGG
rnacentral:rRNA from 1 species